rnacentral:rRNA from 1 species
UGGGGAAUAUUGCGCAAUGGGCGAAAGCCUGACGCAGCAACGCCGCGUGUGGGAUGACAGCUUUCGGGUUGUAAACCACUUUCAGUGACGACGAAGAUGACGGUAGUCACAGAAGAAGGUCCGGCCAACUACGUGCCAGCAGCCGCGGUAACACGUAGGGACCGAGCGUUGUCCGGAUUUAUUGGGCGUAAAGAGCUCGUAGGCGGUUUCGUAAGUCGGAUGUGAAAACUCAGGGCUCAACCCGGAGACGCCAUCUGAUACUGCGAUGACUGGAGUCCGGUAGGGGAGCAUGGAAUUCCUGGUGUAGCGGUGGAAUGCGCAGAUAUCAGGAGGAACACCAAUGGCGAAGGCAGUGCUCUGGGCCGGUACUGACGCUGAGGAGCGAAAGCAUGGGUAGCGAACAGGAUUAGAUACCCACGUAGUCCCUGAGCGGGCUGGCAAGGCGCAU